rnacentral:tRNA from 1 species
GCCUUCAUAGCUCAGUCGGUAGAGCAUCAGACUUUUAAUCUGAGGGUCGUGGGUUCGAGUCCUUAGCUCAGUCAGUAGAGCAUCAGAAUUUAAAUCUGAGGGUCGUGGGUUCGAGUCCCACAGAAGGCG